GUCGCAACGAGCUUAAGACUCGUGGCAUAUAGCUCCGUAACACGUGGCCAAGCUACCCUUCGGAGACGCAUACCCUCGGGAAACUGAGGCUAAUUCGUCAUCCGACUCCCCGGCUGGAAUGCGGGGAGUCGCAAACGCUCCGGCGCCGAAGGAUGCGGCUGCGGCCGAUUAGGUAGACGGUGGGGUAACGGCCCACCGUGCCGAUAAUCGGUACGGGUUGUGAGAGCAAGAACCCGGAGACGGAAUCUGAGACAAGAUUCCGGGCCCUACGGGGCGCAGCAGGCGCGAAACCUUUACACUGCACGCUAGUGCGAUAAGGGGACCCCGAGUGCGCAGGCAUAGUGCCUGUGCUUUUGGUGACCGUAGGGAGGUCACCGAAUAAGAGCUGGGCAAGACCGGUGCCAGCCGCCGCGGUAAUACCGGCAGCUCGAGUGAUGGCCGAUCUUAUUGGGCCUAAAGCGUUCGUAGCCGGCCUGUCAAGUCCGUCGGGAAAUCCACGCGCUCAACGCGUGGGCGUCCGGCGGAACCUGGCAGGCUUGGGACCGGAAGGCGCGAC
rnacentral:rRNA from 1 species